rnacentral:rRNA from 1 species
GUGUCCUACGGGGGCAGCAGUGGGGGAUAUUGCACAAUGGGCGCAAGCCUGAUGCAGCGACGCCGCGUGGAGGAAGAAGGUUUUCGGAUUGUAAACUCCUGUCUUCAGGGACGAUAAUGACGGUACCUGAGGAGGAAGCCACGGCUAACUACGUGCCAGCAGCCGCGGUAAUACGUAGGUGGCAAGCGUUGUCCGGAAUUACUGGGUGUAAAGGGAGCGUAGGCGGGACAGCAAGUCCAGUGUGAAAUCUAUCGGCUCAACCGAUAGCUGCGCUGGAAACUGUGGUUCUUGAGUGAAGUAGAGGC